ensembl:lncRNA LINC00635 long intergenic non-protein coding RNA 635
AGCAUAGCAACAGCAGCGUAGCUGAACAUCUUACGGAUGGCCCAGGGCUCCAAAGGCUCGUUUCCUAAGUGAGAGAGAGCCUGGCUGAAGCUGUAUUACCAUUCAUUCUCCAGCCUCCGAAGUCUCAAAGCAUCACUUCCACCAUACUCUAACUGUCAAGACAAACACAAAGGCCCAGACAUUACAUGUAAAUGGAAUCAUACAAUAUGUGAUCUUUUGUGACUGGCUUCUUUCACUUAGCAUAACGUUUUCAAGGUUUGUUCGUGUUGUAGCAGAAACUGCCAGACUGUCUUCUGAAGUGGCUAUAAUAUUUACACUCCCAUCAGCAGUGUAGAAGGGGUCUCACUAUGUUGUCUGGAGUGCUGUGGUGGAGUGGAGUGGCUAUUCACAGAGCCUGUUCUGCUGGGACACAGAAUCACUUGCUCCAUCUCAUACAUUGAUGAUGAUUAAUUUGUAUGUGUACCUUCCAAAAAAGAUGGUUGUGUUUGAAUGGAGGCCUUCUGGACAGGAAAAUAUGGAGAGUGCGUGCUUUGGAUUCAAGACUGGGAAUGAGGGGACCAGAAACCUAUUCUGUGGCUGUUUCUUGUUAGGACUUUCCUAAGCCUCUGGAAAAGUGCAAAGUACAAUUAACAUUUGAGUCUGUCUGAGUCAUGAAGAAAUGGAGAUUACUGAAAAUAAUUCAUUUUGGUAUCUUCUUACAUCCUGAGAGACUAAUCUUUCCAAGUUCAUCUGAGGCUCCUCUUCUCCAUGACAACCUCAUCCAGGGAUUUCUUCCUGUCCUGGUGUUUUAUGACAUAAUCACAUCCUUCCUGAGAUAAUGAGCACACAAUUGCCUGGAUACCUGAAGGAAUGGAGACAGCGGCAGAAAACACUGCAGAGAGGUGGAAACAUCCGUUAAUAUUUUAAAAUCCCAUUACUGCUACCAACAAUAAUAAUGGAUGCAUAGAAAUAGAUCUGGAUUAGCUGAGCUUGAAACAGUCCAUCUCACACACACACAAAAGAAUUUCAGAUACAGUGAACCCACAUGUUGAAGCUUUCUAGUAUAAUAAAAAUUUCAACUGUUCUGUUGAAUCAUCUGCCUGAUUGGAGGCUACAGAAAAGAUGUCAUCUUAGGAGUGCUUGCUCUGAGUGAGGCUCAUCUUCAAAUCUGAAUGACCACAAGGAGAUUUGAUUAUACAUGUGAACACCUCAGAAGGCACAGCCCACCCAGAAGGCAGACAGAAGAAGCUGCCAGGAAGACUGUGAAAUCUUCAUGCCCAAGGAUCCCUAAAAUUAGGAGCAACAACCACUUGGCUCAGACGGUUUAUGGAGGCAAAGGUUUGGAUGGGAUUAGAGAUUUCUAAAUGUGAGUUCGUGUCCUCUGCCAGACCACCUUACUUCCACCAUUCCUCAGCAAAUCAAGAAAAACAGGAGAAAAGACAUGCCUUUCCAUAAGUUAAAUCUAUUCUGUUUUAAUUCUAUAUUAUAUCUGCUGUACAACUUCUUUUGUUUGUAACACCAUAUUGUUGCUAGUAACUGGAAAUUAAUUUUCACAUGCCUCAGCUUAGAAAAAUAAAAAGCAGCCCUGCAUCAA